CACCACCUACACAUGUGACAACACCACCUACAGCAGUCCAAGAGAAAGCUCCACUAAUUAACUACCCAGUUCAGAAUAUUAAAAAGAGGAUGAAGAUGACAUGAUGAUAUGCUGCAAAAGGAAGCACCCACUACAAGUCUAUUUGUUGUGUUUUUGUUCACAGCAGUGGAGUUCAUGCUAGACACUACCAUGCUUAUACAAGUCCACUUUCAAAUCAGUGGUACUGUUAUCUCAGAUUUUUGAUAAGGAGUAUUUAAUGAAGAUUUGGCGCACUAACAUGGCAUUUAUUGAAAAAGAAUAAAUCGCUUAUUUACCAAAUUUCAGGGUAAACAGGUACGUACUAGUUUGAUGAAUAUUAUGAAUCUUAUUUUUGUGUGCUUUUCU